AUACGGAGGAUCCGAGCGUUAUCCGGAUUUAUUGGGUUUAAAGGGUGCGCAGGCGGGAGAUUAAGUCGGCGGUGAAAUUUUGCAGCUCCACGGUGAAAGGGGCUUAGGAACAGGGUUUCUUGAGUGUAGAUGAUGUAGGCGGAAUUUGUGGGGUGGCGGUGAAAUGCAUAGAUAUCACGAGGAACUCCGAUUGCGCAGGCAGCUUACUAAACUACUACUGACGCUCAGGCACGAAGGCGUGGGGAUCAAACAGGAUUAGAUACCCUGGUAGUCCACGCAGUAAACGAUGAUUACUAGUUGUUUGCGAUACAAUGUAAGCGGCUGAGCGAAAGCGUUAAGUAAUCCACCUGGGGAGUACGUUCGCAAGAAUGAAACUCAAAGGAAUUGACGGGG
rnacentral:rRNA from 1 species